UACGAAGGGGGCUAGCGUUGCUCGGAAUCACUGGGCGUAAAGCGCACGUAGGCGGAUUGCUAAGUCGAGGGGUGAAAUCCUGGAGCUCAACUCCAGAACUGCCUUUGAUACUGGCGAUCUGAGUCCGGGAGAGGUGAGUGGAACUGCGAGUGUAGAGGUGAAAUUCGUAGAUAUUCGCAAGAACACCAGUGGCGAAGGCGGCUCACUGGCCCGGUACUGACGCU
rnacentral:rRNA from 1 species